rnacentral:tRNA from 1 species
GGAGGUGGGAGGGGCCCGGUGGCUCCCGCGGCCUUCAAAGCCGUUGUGUCGCGCUGUCGCGUGAUGUGUGGGUUCGACCCCCAUGCGCCUCCGCCA